ACGGGGACCUUCUGAUGCUUAAAUCAGUAGAGAGUGAUAAACAACAGAUAGAAUAUUCAAAAUGACAGAGUAUCAGCUCAGAAGUGUCUUACCAAUGGUGUUCAUUUACCUCCCUUUUAUAGACGAGUUGUUGGUAACUAUUUGUAACGGUUAGGCAUGUGGGUCCCACUUAUUUCGGUACUAUGUGAUCGUGGGCUGGAUAGU
rnacentral:lncRNA from 1 species